GUCUCCGGCCGUGUGACACUCCGGGCUAAGUACUAGCGCCGUAGGAGUGGGGUUUUCGGCUACUCCUGCAGCCUUGGUGCUUACCCCGGGGGCGUCACGUUGCAGCGC
rnacentral:pre_miRNA from 2 species